GACGAACGCUGGCGGCGUGCUUAACACAUGCAAGUCGAACGGUAAGGCCCUUCGGGGUACACGAGUGGCGAACGGGUGAGUAACACGUGGGUGAUCUGCCCUGCACUUCGGGAUAAGCCUGGGAAACUGGGUCUAAUACCGGAUAGGACCCUGGGAUGCAUGUCCUGGGGUGGAAAGCUUUUGCGGUGUGGGAUGGGCCCGCGGCCUAUCAGCUUGUUGGUGGGGUGAUGGCCUACCAAGGCGACGACGGGUAGCCGGCCUGAGAGGGUGACCGGCCACACUGGGACUGGGAUACGGCCCAGACUCCUACGGGAGGCAGCAGUGGGGAAUAUUGCACAAUGGGCGCAAGCCUGAUGCAGCGACGCCGCGUGGGGGAUGACGGACUUCGGGUUGUAAACCUCUUUCAGCACCGACGAAGCGCAAGUGACGGUAGGUGCAGAAGAAGGACCGGCCAACUACAUGCCAGCCGCCGCCGUAA
rnacentral:rRNA from 1 species